UGAUUGGUAUGGGUAGGAGAGCUGGCUGUGAGCUGAAUUUCAGACCCUCAGUACUGACCAGUCUCAGAAAGAAGCACUCACUGAUGUUCAGGUGGAAACAGCAAAUACAAAUCUGCACUUAAGUGGAUAUGAAGAGAGAGCGUCAUCUAUCAGUGUAUCUGUUCAUAGUAUGUACACAGUAGCUCACAUGUGAUGCCUGCAGCCCAAAAAGACAGAUUUCUUCAGUUAAACUCCUGUGCCCUUGAAGUCCACAAUGUUCUCUAUGUGUUAUCAGCAUAAAUUUGGAUCAGAUAGGCAAGAACAAUAAUAACAGACUUAUCUUGUGGGAUUUACCCUUGUGUAUGGAUGGUAGACUUGAGCUACAUGGUACUUCACAGGCAGUCUGUAACUCCACAGUCUGCCAGACAUCUGUUGCAUUGCCCAUGCAACGGACGUGUUCCUGAGAGAGACUUGUGCUUUUGGGGCCUGGCGCACUCUGCAAAUAAAGGCUGAUGAUAAAGAUGGUAUUUCAGAAGUGACAAACAUUUAUUGGAGACAUCUCUGAAGACUCCCAAAAGUGCAGGCCUAAACAACCAUUACUGAGGAACAACACACAAAAGAGAUAUUUUUUUCAGAUAAAUCAAUGUAAUCAAGCUGAAGAAACUGUGGAGCUAGUCUCAAAUAUGUGCAGAGAUAAUACUGGCUUUUCAACACUUUCACAAGUGAAGGCUUUUUUCAGAAAAUUAUUUUUUUUUACA